UACAGAGGGGGCAAGCGUUGUUCGGAAUUACUGGGCGUAAAGGGCGCGUAGGCGGCCCGCUAAGUCGAACGUGAAAUCCCCGGGCUCAACCCGGGAACUGCGUCCGAUACUGGUGGGCGUCGAAGCCGGGAGAGGGAUGCGGAAUUCCAGGUGUAGCGGUGAAAUGCGUAGAUAUCAGGAGGAACACCGGUGGCGGAGGCGGGUCUCUGGGCAACAACUGACGCUGAGGAGCGAAAGCGUGGGGAGCGAACAGG
rnacentral:rRNA from 1 species